AAGUGCUAGAGAGUUUAGUUUAUUAAAGAUGUACGUCUACCUUGGUAGUAAAUCGUGUAACAGAGUCACUGUAACAGUUAACGAUAAACCUAUAUACACAUGUAACGAUGAUGGGGUAUUUCUCCCUAACUACGACGACAGUGGCCAGUUCUACAGCAAAGCUACGAUAGAAUUCAAUAAUAUGACCGCGGACUCCCUUGAUGUUAUAUAUUUAGAUUUUGACGGUCGUGUGGUGGUGGACGUGUCUUGUGAUUGUUCUAAACCCGUGGCAAAUGGUGGUUGGGGUAAAUGGGCGGAAUACAGUAUCUGCUCUGUUUCAUGUGGUAGAGGUAAGAGAAUGAGGACAAGGAGAUGUGAUAAUCCUGCAGUAGCUAAUGGUGGAAUGUAUUGUACUGGUAACUCUAGAGAGACAUUUGAAUGCAAACAACUAGAACAAUGUCCAGCCGGCCUAGAGUAUGAGAUUAUGCUAACAGCGAGUAUAAGUGCAGUUUUGGUAGCCACCCUUCUUGUAUGUUUUUUAACAUGGUUUAUGAGACGAAAUAUCAAGAAAUCUCAACCAACUGUCCAUAAUGAAAACACAACAAGCCAUAAUGACAAUAUAAGAGAAAAUGUGAAUGACAUCAUAACAGAUGACUGGUAUGACACUAUCGCUAACGUGCAUGUAAACACAAAAGACCAAGGGCAAGGCAACAACACGGUACGGAAAUGUGACAACGACACAGUAGCUGACGAUUCAGCAAAAUACAUUCAAGUAAUUUAACAAAUGAAAUGGGGUUUCAAGUCCUACUUUUCUGUACAGAAUAAAUAUUUUAAGUGUAUAUUCAUUAUGUUAAACAGGCAUUAUUCAAGAGCUAAAUCUGUCUAUUGCAGAUCUUUCUUUAGACCUAAUGUUAUAUAAAUUAUUAAUUAGACAUUUAGACAUCCGGGUGUACGAAAAUUUCAGUUUGAUCACUUUCUUGCCCAAUCGCGGUUAAACCUACAGACAAAACGAUAUUUAUACUCUGAUCUAUGUAGUACAGUAGUCGAGUCUUAAAUUUUCGAGUUGCUUUCCUAUUUCCUUGUAGUGUGCGAUUUCCACGUCCUUGCUACCACGGGCUGGGAUCCGCCAUUUUCUUUUUCAAUCUUGAAAAUGACCCAUCAUAUCUUUAGACGAGUGAUGCGAAUAAUCGUUCAACUGACAACGCUUAGCGGAACAUUGAAUCGAUAUGCAAAGGUUUCAUUUAUAUCGUAUUCCCUUUAGUAAUAACACAUUUUGCCUUUGUAUAAAUGUAAACAAUGUUUCGUAGGUAGCUUGCGUGUCCAAAUAUCUGGUAUGUCCUUGACCUUAUGCUAAAAUCAAUGAGCAAAGUGUUAAUUUUAAAUACAAAUUUUUAAUUUUUUAAUUUAAACAACUGCGGAAUACGAUUAAUUCAUACCUAAAUACAAAUGAGGUGUCAUUUACGGGAUUUGAUAAUAUUAAAAAAAAAUAAGUCAUGCAUGAACUCAUUGAUGCGAGCAACACUUCCUUUGAGCGGUAAUUCGACACAGAAAGGUAAAUAAAAAUGCAGUAAAUACUUUUUAACUUAUACUAUCACAAUUAUCCUUACAUCAGGUGGUAAAUCGUAAUAGUAUAGACUAUUGCGCUUCAUUUGCAAGACAUGUCACAUCUUUUAAUAUCAACAUUAUUCAUAUCGACCGUUCUGUAGAUUCAUGAAAACUGAACUGUCAAAAUCUAAGCUAUCAUGGCUGCCGUUGUCAAGUGUUGGUAAAUGUUAGCAAAAAGACUUGUUUUUAAAUUCUGAAUAGAUUAUUAUUCAUUUAUGUUAGAAUAAUAAUCAUUUUGAGGGUUUGACAUAGAAUUUUUUACGUAGAUAUAAUUUCUGUGGGGCAAAUUCCUUUCUAUGGAGUACCAUUUGAAACACAUCAUAUUUUCCAAUCAAUCACUCAGCUGGACCUUUCCACAUUCAAUAGUGGACUAUUAGUAUACAGUCUAAGAUUAAACAAUGUGUUGAGUGUGAAUAAAUAUUGAAUAAAAUUUAUAACAAAUUAUUUUACAUUAAAAUUCAGUAAAAAUGUUCAAUGUUUAAUUGUGAUACAGUAUUUACAAUUUUCCAUACAGACCCGAAACAUUUAAUCCAAAUGAUGUUUAUGAUGGUACUCCAUACCAAAAGUCUGAAAGUAUAGUCCGUUGAAAAAAAAUGGAGGAUAUUUGAAAAAAAAGUUGAAUUAUAUGGACGUGGUGUGCUAAAACAAAGAUAGUUUUCAACAUUUGAAGUCUUGAUGGUUGUAGUGUAUAUAUUCAGGUAUCUCUGUGAGACUUUGUGAUUUCCCAUGUUGAGUUGUUUACCCUGUAGCUGUGCAGUGCUGAAUGGUAUAUUUGCUUCAUAUUUUCCAAAGUUACAAAUUCCAAAGUCAUUAUUUUUUAUUUACAUCAAUUGUUUAUUGUUCAGUAUCAUCUCAAGCACAUUUAGACACCAAAAUAAAGGCACUAAAGGUGUUCUGAAUGAUUUUCUGAGGACCCCCCAUUUCAGGUGUUGUGACAAUGUUUGUCACUUUACCUUGCCCUUAAAUCUUUUGAUGUUGUUAAAAUUACUAAAUAUCAUUUCAAAUGUUUAUACAUUUGUACAAUUAUUCUGUAUCAAAUAUUAUUUAAAUGUGUAAACUUUAUGUUGUAAUAUGUUGAGAUUCUCUUA